UAGGGAAUCUUCCACAAUGGGCGCAAGCCUGAUGGAGCAACACCGCGUGAGUGAAGUAAGGGUUUCGGCUACGUAAAACUCUGUUGUUGAAGAAGAACGUGCGUGAGAGUAACUGUUCAUGCAGUGACGGUAUUCAACCAGAAAGUCACGGCUAACUACUUGCCAC
rnacentral:rRNA from 1 species